GACGAACGCUGGCGGCGUGCUUAACACAUGCAAGUCGAACGGAAAGGCCCUGCUUUUGUGGGGUGCUCGAGUGGCGAACGGGUGAGUAACACGUGAGUAACCUGCCCUUGACUUUGGGAUAACUUCAGGAAACUGGGGCUAAUACCGGAUAGGAGCUCCUGCUGCAUGGUGGGGGUUGGAAAGUUUCGGCGGUUGGGGAUGGACUCGCGGCUUAUCAGCUUGUUGGUGGGGUAGUGGCUUACCAAGGCUUUGACGGGUAGCCGGCCUGAGAGGGUGACCGGCCACAUUGGGACUGAGAUACGGCCCAGACUCCUACGGGAGGCAGCAGUGGGGAAUAUUGCACAAUGGGCGGAAGCCUGAUGCAGCAACGCCGCGUGCGGGGUGACGGCCUUCGGGUUGUAAACCGCUUUCGCCUGUGACGAAGCGUGAGUGACGGUAAUGGGUAAAGAAGCACCGGCUAACUACGUGCCAGCAGCCGCGGUGAUACGUAGGGUGCGAGCGUUGUCCGGAUUUAUUGGGCGUAAAGGGCUCGUAGGUGGUUGAUCGCGUCGGAAGUGUAAUCUUGGGGCUUAACCCUGAGCGUGCUUUCGAUACGGGUUGACUUGAGGAAGGUAGGGGAGAAUGGAAUUCCUGGUGGAGCGGUGGAAUGCGCAGAUAUCAGGAGGAACACCAGUGGCGAAGGCGGUUCUCUGGGCCUUUCCUGACGCUGAGGAGCGAAAGCGUGGGGAGCGAACAGGCUUAGAUACCCUGGUAGUCCACGCUGUAAACGGUGGGUACUAGGUGUGGGGUCCAUUCCACGGGUUCCGUGCCGUAGCUAACGCUUUAAGUACCCCGCCUGGGGAGUACGGCCGCAAGGCUAAAACUCAAAGGAAUUGACGGGGCCCCGCACAAGCGGCGGAGCAUGCGGAUUAAUUCGAUGCAACGCGUAGAACCUUACCUGGGUUUGACAUGGAUCGGGAGUGCUCAGAGAUGGGUGUGCCUCUUUUGGGGUCGGUUCACAGGUGGUGCAUGGCUGUCGUCAGCUCGUGUCGUGAGAUGUUGGGUUAAGUCCCGCAACGAGCGCAACCCUUGUUCACUGUUGCCAGCACGUUAUGGUGGGGACUCAGUGGAGACCGCCGGGGUCAACUCGGAGGAAGGUGGGGAUGACGUCAAGUCAUCAUGCCCCUUAUGUCCAGGGCUUCACGCAUGCUACAAUGGCUGGUACAGAGAGUGGCGAGCCUGUGAGGGUGAGCGAAUCUCGGAAAGCCGGUCUCAGUUCGGAUUGGGGUCUGCAACUCGACCUCAUGAAGUCGGAGUCGCUAGUAAUCGCAGAUCAGCAACGCUGCGGUGAAUACGUUCCCGGGGCU
rnacentral:rRNA from 1 species